rnacentral:rRNA from 1 species
CACGUAGUUAGCCGGCGCUUCUUCUGCAGGUACCGUCACUUGCGCUUCUUCCCUGCUGAAAGGGGUUUACAACCCGAAGGCCGUCAUCCCUCACGCGGCGUCGCUGCAUCAGGCUUGCGCCCAUUGUGCAAUAUUCCCCACUGCUGCCUCCCGUAGGAGUCUGGGCCGUGUCUCAGUCCCAGUGUGGCCGGUCGCCCUCUCAGGCCGGCUACCCGUCGUCGCCUUGGUGAGCCGUUACCUCACCAACAAGCUGAUAGGCCGCGGGCUCAUCCUGCACCGCCGGAGCUUUCCACACAGAGGAGAUGCCUCCCUGUGUCGUAUCCGGUAUUAGACCCCGUUUCCAGGGCUUGUCCCAGAGUGCAGGGCAGAUUGCCCACGUGUUACUCACCCGUUCGCCACUAAUCCACCCCCGAAGGGGCUUCAUCGUUCGACUUGCAUGUGUUAAGCACGCCGCCAGCGUGUCUCGUGCACGAGUCAACUAC